rnacentral:rRNA from 1 species
GACGAACGCUGGCGGCGUGCUUAACACAUGCAAGUCGAACGGAAAGGCCCUGCUUUUGUGGGUUUCUCGAUUGGCGAGCGGGUGAGUAACACGUGAGUAACCUGCCCUUGUCUUUGGGAUAACUUCAGGAAACUGGGGCUAAUACCGGAUAGGAUCUCCUGCUGCAUGGUGGGGGUUGGAAAGUUUCGGCGGUUGUGGAUGGACUCGCUGCUUAUCAGCUUGUUUGUGGGGUAGUGGCUUACCAAGGCUUUGACGGGUAGCCGGCCUGAGAGGGUGAACGGCCACAUUGGGACUGAGAUACGGACCAGUAUCCAACGGGAGGCAGCAGUGGGGAACAUUGCGGAGUGGGCGGAAGCCAGAUGCAGAAACGCCGCGAGCGGGAUAACGGCCUUCGGGUUGUAAACAGAUUUCGAAGGUGCCGAAGCGUGCGUGACGGUAACGGGUAAAGAAGCCACGGCUAACUACGUG